GCAGGGUCCCCGCGGAGAGCAGAGUCCGUGGCGCAGUCCUCGGUCCUCACGGAGCGUCUCUGCGUUCCCGGGGCACACAGAGCGUCCCCAUGCAGGGUCCGUGGUCCCCAAAGAGGGGUCUCCCCAUGCAUCGCGCUCUGUGCCCCGCAGUGCCCGGCUGAAGGUGCUGUUUGGGCAGGGUGGGCAGCGCUGGAGGCAGGGGGCUUUGUCUGGGUAGGGAGCACUGUCACCGUUCUUGCUUGGGUUUCUUUUUUAUGCUUUUCUUCUCUAAAUGCCCAGCUCACGCAAUCAUGCGGGAGAGACAACAGCACACUGCGUGGAUGGGCCGUGGGGUUCCUCACAGCCCACCUCCAGCCUUCUGAGACCCUCAUCCCCCAGCAGAUCCCACUCCGGGGUGUUUUCUCCCACGUUCAGCUCUGCACAUCAGGGCUGCUCCUUGGCAGAGAAGUGGACUUGGCCGCCCGCCUCCUUCCUGUAUCUCAGCAGGCUCUGUUUUAGCUACUGUUGCUCUGCUGUCCCCUCCAUUUCCCCUGGGAGCUCUGCUGCUGAAACCCAGCUUUGUGCUGGGGACCUGGUGCCCUCACCCUGUGCACUUGUCCGUAGCUGCUGGCUUCAGCUCACGUGGUGAUUACAAGGGACGAACUUUGCCCAUUCCCUGGGCAGUGCUGUAGGAGCAGUGGAAAGGCCAUGCAGCAGAAGGGACCAGAGCCCACCGGCACAGGAUGCGUCUCAGCGCUGUCAGUACGUGACCACUGUGCAGAGUGGCCAGGAAUAGACCAACACAUGGGACGGUCCUGUGGGAGACAGCACAAUGGAGGCAAAAAGGCAGUGCUCACCGUGCUGUCAGCACCGAGUGCCUCCAGCCCCUGAUGUCUACAGCACAUGCUCUGCCUCUGUUCUGUGCUUAAACGUGGCUGGAGGAAAACACCUUUCCUGUCUUGGCGAAGUGCUGUUCACAGUCGUCUUGGUACUGCAAGCAGGGAAUGGCAGCAGGGAAGCACACCGAGACAGUGACAUGGAACAAGUGCCAGACCAGGGAGAAGCAUGACUGACAGCAAGCACCAAACCUCAGCUUGAAGGUUCUGAGAGAUGCCCAGCAUGGUGCUGAGGACAAGACAGGGCUGUGAUAGAUGCCCAGGACCAGAAGCACUGUGGAGGACAAGAGGAGGUGCUGACCCACCAUUCUAGGCUUUUCCAACAUGUGCUGGAGCUGGAGGAUGAGGCUGCCAGCAGGACCAAAGUGGGGCUGCAAGAGGAGGAGGAGAUGGAAGUCGAUGUGGAG